rnacentral:lncRNA from 1 species
AGUCAACAGUCUCAUUGGAUCCGUAGCUAAUUUCAUAGCAAAAUAUGUGCCUACUUUAGUCAUUCAAAUUUCUAAGUCACUAGCAUCAAUAUGCCACCAAAUAUGUGUAAAAUAACCAGAACACAAUUGCCAAAGGAUUUACCUCUUCUGUCUAUACAAACGACAGAAAAUCACUGGAUAGGAUGUCCUUCAAGAUUGUGCCACGAGGCGAUUUUACUGGCUUGCCAACUUUCCAAACCGGGCAAGACCUCCUUUUGAGGUGGAUCGUUUGCAGGUAUCAUUUUUGCGGCACUAUUGCCCAGUGAAAACAAGUAGCCAUUGGCCUUUGAACCCACAUCCUGUACUUGUUUGUUAUGUUUCCCAUUGACCUUAGGGACCCAAAUACUUCCAUUUUUUGCCGUCAAGGCAUCUUCAGAACUUCUUCCUGGGGUUGAAAAAUCCACAAUGUUCCUCAGGAUCUUCUCCCAUAGAGAUCUGUUCUGUCUGGAACUAUACGAAAGGUCUUCCAUUUCACUAUCCUCUUCAGUAUAAGCAAUGAAGUCGUUUAUCCGUUGUUAUUUCCACAGCAGAUGGUGCAGCUUGCUCCCUCAAGAACUAAUUAUUAGUAAUUUAGACAGUCAGAGACUCAAUGAUUAAAGAAUAAAAUAUAUAUAUAUAUAUAUAUAUAUAUAAUUCACAGUUUCAUACUCCAUGUAAUUCAACCCAUGUUAAUGAUUUUGCGCCUGGCACUACGUGUUUUAGCAAGUUGCAACCACUGUUUAUGCCUUUAAAAAGCUGAUUUGCUUGAGAGUGCCUGGAACAAGAGGCAAAGAUGUACAUUACAAAGGAACCAGGGCUAUUCCUUGUGCACAAAUAGUAAAUAUCUCUUCAAUAUUAGGUCUAAUGACCUAUAACGCUACUCCGAAUUCGGUGUUUCUAACUGCUAGUUUCGAAUUUUUGAAAGAAAAGAAACACAAAUAUAGAUACACAUAUAUUUAUCUAUUUAUCAUCGAGCAUAUGAAAUACGAGUUGUCCCACAAUUUAAAUAUUAUCAUAGAAGCAUGUUCUACUAUAAGCUGAGUAAAAUGGACAUUGAACCACGGUCAAUAAAUACCAACGUUAUAGGUGAUAAUCUCCUCAACUUCUGCAUUGGCAAGCACAUGCGUGGGGGAAACAAGAUUACCAUUGACCUGCAACGAGAAAGUCAAGCAUUAAAUUGGUGGCAUUUGUUGUAGGCUGACACUAGAAUUGGAAAUUAGCAACAUGCAAUACAAAAGUACCUUCGCCGCCACCAUUUUGUUUCCAAUGUCGGUGUGUAUCAUGUAGGCAUAAUCAAUAGCAGUAGCCCCUCUAGGCAAAUUUUUAAUCUUCCCAUCGCAAGAAAUAUUUAUCCGAGCAGUAGUUCCCACAAAAUUAUGGUAAUAUUUUAGCAGAAAUAAAAUCCCAAAGUAUGGUUUACGAAUUAUCAUACCUCUCCCCGUGGGGUAAAGACGAAGAUACGACUGCAUAAGAGAUCUCUGGUACAAAUUCUCUAGAGCUCAUGUUGCCAACCAACUCCUCUUGCCAUUCUCUAAUUGCAUUGAGCCAACCAAGCUGGAGAAAAGAAAAAGCUUCAUCCAUAAAAUUAGCAUUCCUGUCAGGGGCUUUAAAAGGUCUGAAGGAAUUCCUUUAAAGACUACUCUUAAUGACAACUUGUCAAGGAAACUAGGUAUACCCUGAGUGCCAUGUUUGCAUUGUUAAGGCAAACUAGUUUCCCCCUUCAAUUUCUACCAUUUGGCACAGCAUGCCCAACUAGAAAUUGUUUUUAAAACAAUUUAAGAAGGAUAUUUUCAGAUUAUCAAAAUCACCUUCUUCCAUAUAUUAUGGAUUAUCUUAAAUCUACAUAUGAUUCAAGUUAUGAAAUAUACAAUAUACUAGUACAAUCCAACCUUAUUUUUUUAUGAUAUACUAAGUUAAUCUUGUUAAUUUGAAAAGUCUUUUUUUUAGAACAAUAAAUGUCUUAUCAACCAUAUUUUAAAAUAGUGUUGGAUCCUAAGAGAAAUGUUCUUUUUUGGGGGUUGAGGGGUGAGGGAGCUAGUAAAAUUUUUAAAAAUCUUAAGAGUUUAAUGAGAUUCUUUUAAAAAAAUUUGAAGGUCUAAUUAAAAUUUGUGAGACUAAUGAGAAUUUUUAAAAUUUUGAGAUGGGAUAAUUAAUUUUUUUUUAAAUUUCAAGAAAAAAAUAAAAAUUCCCCAAAUUAUUUUUGGGGGAAUGCCCUUAUAACGGGCCCCUGUUUUGAUGCCUUAAAUGUUUCAAAUUGGAGAAGUUCGCAAGCUGCCUAUAAUGCUUAUGUCUAACACAAUUCUCUCAAAUAGUAAUCGUACCUCAUGAUAUGUUGCAAGAAAACAUUUUGUAUUUACAAAGUUAGCAUUUAUAUUAUAAUAUUCUAGUUUAUAGUUCAAAUUUUUUAAUUGUAAAAAAUUUAUAUAAAUUUAAUUUGAAGAAACACUUGUGCCAUGUUAUGUCCCUUUUUUAUAAUACAUAAAUUGAGUAAAAAGUAAUAUAAAUUUUAUAAAAUAUAACCUUUUUAAAAAUUGUUUUAAAAUUUGUCUAAUAAAUUUCUUAACAUUUCUUAUAAAUAAUAUUUUUUUCCGUAACUUUAGAAAGUUAAUUUUUAUAAAUAACCUUUUUAUGAAUACAUAUAUUGUUUUUACAAUAUAUAGUAUGAAAAAAUAAAUUAUAAGUUAUGUACAUAUUUCUUGGACAUAUUUUUUAUAAAUUAAUAUAUUAUAAUACGUCUAUAAUAUGUAAAUUUUUUUUAUAAUAAAAUUUUUCACCAUAACUUAGAAAUUUUAUAGGAUUUAAUAAUAUAAUUUUUUGUUAUAACUUUUUAAAAUACAAAAAUCAUUUUAUAAUAUAUAUUUUUUAGGACUUAUAAUAUAAUAAUUUUUUUUCAUAAUCAUCUCAAAUACUCAUACGUGUUUAUGCUUGGCUUAAAGAUGUAAAAAACCCUUAAACUUUUUUAGAAAAAACAAUUAAGCCAUCGUCUUUUUUUUUUGGCACUCAAUUGGAUACUUGAAUUACCAAAAUGCAUUAAAAAAACCCUUUAACAGUUGAUUGUUAAAAUUAGCUGCUUUAAUUUUUUUUUCAAUUAAAGUCAUCACGUAUGACAACCACGACAUGACAUGUGUAAAAAAUAAAUAAAAGUUAUUAAAUUUUAAUAAAAAUAUUUAAAUUUUAUUAAAAAUUAGAAAAAAAUUAUAAAAAUCAUAAAAAAUGUAAUUUUUUUAUAAAAUAUAGAAAUUAUUUUUAUAAAAUUUUAUGAAGUCGUAAGAAAAUUAUAAAAAAUGUAAAGAAAUAUAAAAUUCACAAAAAAAUUAUAAAAAUUAUUAUGUCUCCAAUACUCUCAAGUCUAUCAUAAUCAACCCAAUGUUUUCUUGGUUUUAUUUACCUUUCUCCUCCUACUUACCUUCAAUAUUUUCUUGCUGGCUUUGUUUAUCAAACCAAUUUUUAUCCAAACUUUGAAAAUAUUAAAAAAAGUGGGCGUCCUUGCAGCUAUUGUUGCAUUUUGUCACGUCAUAGCAUGCACCUUUUUUCUAUAAUUUUUUUGUACACUUUUAACAUUUUCCUAUAACUUUUAUUGAUUUUUAUUUUUUAUUAUUUUUCGUCACAUGUCACUCUGUGUUGCAACACGUGAUGACUUUAACUAAAAAAAAUGGGGGUCAUUAACUUUAAUGGUCAACGAUUAAAGUUAACGGUUAAAAAGUCUUUUUGAUGUAUUUUAUUUUUUUACAAUUUUUAUAAAAUUUUACAAUUUUUUAUAAUUUUUGUACGAUUUUUUAUUUUUACUAAUUUUAUUUAAUUAAUAAUUUUAUUGAUUUUAUUUUUUAUAAUUUUUUUGUCACAUAUCAUGCCAAAAAAAGUAAGGGUCGUUAACUUUAACUGUCAAUUUUGCUUUAGUGUUUUUUUUUCUCCAUGAAUUUCUAAACUGUCUUUUUCUAAUCAAAGGGAUUUCGGAGUAUAACUCUAAAAGUUUGUAUGAUUUAAUUGCUCUGCAUCUAUUCUUUGUUCUUUAGCAUUUGCAUGUGUUCUAUUUUAAUUACAAACAUUCAAAUUUGUUGAAUAUUGGUACCGUAUUCAAUUUCUUAGAACCUAGUGACAAAUAACAUGAUUGUGUAUAUGCUGCAUAUGCAAUACAUGUUAUGUGGAUAUUUGAUUUAAUCUAAAUGAGCCCCACUGGUGUGUGUUUGCUGGUUAGAAUUAGGGUUCUUUCAUUCUUAAUACUACUGGUAAGCUGAACCCUAAGUGUUAAAUUAUGGGGUUGUUUAUUGAUAAGGAGAAUAAUUUCAACGAGCUUUCCUCUUGAUUAUCGAAAGGUAUUGAGAGAUUGGUUGCUAGGUGUGACAUUGGUAACUAUAACUAAUUUAUUAACAACACCGAAAUUAUAUUUUAUUGCUGUAAAUUUUUGUUUUCAAAAAACGGUUUCGACAUAUAUAUUAUCGCUUUUACAAUUAUAUAAAAAAAUUAUAUUAAUAUAUAAAUUAAAAUUUUAUCCCUUCAAUAUAUAAAGUAAAAUAUAUGUACCAAAAUACUAGUAUUUCAAUUUCAAUUUUUUUUUCUGUGUAACCAAAUUUUUUAGUAUUAAAUUAAAGAUGAUAUUUUAAUUAAUAAAUACAAUUAACUUUUACAUAGCACAAAAAAGAAACUAGUUAAUAUAUAUAGCUUUGUAGGUGUGGAAUUUAUUAUUGUUACCUUCUAUAAUAGUUGCAUCUAUAAAGUACAUAGUAUGCUUUUUAUCAAAUUAAUUCUCUAUAAUAAUGUGUUGUCUCACAUUUUAACACAACUAAUUCUAUUUUUAAGUGAAAAAUAAAUAAAUUUUACUUAAGAUAUUAUUUCAAUAAAAUGUUUAAAUUUUAUAUAAAAUAUAUUAAUCAAAAAUGGUUUUUAAUAAAUGGAGUUACAUUAGUAAAUUUUAUUAAAGAUACAAUUUGAAUCUCGGAAAUUAAUAUUUUUAUUAAUAUAUUAUAGUUUUUAAUUUAAAUUCUUUUAAAAAAAUUAAAUAUAAUUUAAAUAUUAAAUGUUGUUAUAAGUGUAUAACAAUAACUUAUCUAUAACAUCCAAUAUUUUGACAGAAAAAUGGAGUAAUUAUAUAAAAGUUGAAUAUAACUUAAUUUUUGUGAUGAUUACUUUAUUGGACUGAAAAAAAUAUAUUGUAUCGAUUUGGAUAGUAUUGAAUAAUCUGACAAAGCUAAAGGAGUUGGAUUUGAGUUACAAUAAAAUUGAUAUGUUUUACUUUAUCAUAUACAUACCAAUAUCUCAUUUAAUAUUCCAUUAGAAAUAAAUUUGCUUAUCCAAAUGCUUUGUAGAUGGUGAGAGGCCACGUAAUUUGACCAAUUUAGAAGAGCUUAAUUUGCAUUCCAACUCCUUCACAAGCAGUUUAUUGGCACAGCUUAGUGGGUUUUCCAAUCUAAAGUCAUUGAGGAUAGGGAAUAACUAGCUUAAAGGAUCAAUAAAUAUUAAAGGUGAAAUUACUUAAUAUAUUGUAUCUUCCUUUAAACGAAACAAAUUAAUUGUUGAGUUAUUACAUUUAUUCUUUGUGAUUUAAUUUUAAAUUUUAUUUGUCGAUCUUCACAGAAUUAUUAGAUUCUUUGAGCAACUUAGAGGAGCUAGACAUAAUCGGAAAAAAGGUGAAGGAAUUUGUGCCCAUAAAGAAUAAAGGUAUAUGUAUCAACUAAGGAAAGAUAUCUAGUGAACUGAUGCCAACCACUAAUUUGACUAUCAGAAAAUGGAAGUUUGGGAAGGCUAAAGAUAGCUACAUUCGACUAUGUGUUCACCGGUGGAACUACUUCUCUAAUACAACUUUUAGAGACAUUCUCAUCUGUUAAGACCUUAUAUUUGAGAGGCAAUUACUUCAAUGACACAUUUUCUACUCAAGGUAUAAUAUGUAUGUAUGUGAAUAUAUAAUUUUAUAAUUUGAUUCCAUUUAAAAAUAUUAUUUACUUAACAUCAGUCAUUUAAAUAACUCUUAUACACUUGUAAAGAUCAAUUGCAUGUGUCGAGCAAAAUAGAGGAAUUAGUGUUGGAUUCGUCAUCUCUUAACAACAACAUUCUUCAAAGCAUUGGUGUAUUGGCUUCUCUUAAAAUUUUGUCUUUGAGUGGUUGUGAGCUGUCUGGGACAUUACCUACGCAAGGUAAAUUAAUAAUUAUGACAUAAUUAUUUAGACAAUCUCUUGAUUAAUUUUUUUUUAUCCUCCUAGAAUAUUUAAAUAAUUUGUACAAAUGUAUUUUACAAGAUGGUGCGAUUUACGGAAAUUUGAGGUGUUGGAUCUUAGUGAAAAUGCUCUUGAAGGAACACUCCCUUCAUGUUUGGCUAACUUGUCAUCACUUCAUUAUUUGGAUAUUUCCAGUAAUCAAUUCGUCGAGAAAGGUGCCUCCACUGCUUUAGCCAAUCUCACUUUGCUUAGAUUCAUUUUUCUUUCAUGAAACCUAUUCGAAGUUCCAUCCACUUUCAUAUCAUUUGCCAACCACUCACACCUCAAAGUCCUCUACGGCAGUAAAAACAAGUUAGUCAAAGAGCCUACCAUUCCAACAUGGGUCCCAAAGUUCCAACUAAAAGCCUUCCAUUUGUCGAAUUGCAAAACAAAGGAACUCCACACUGAAAUUCCAAAAUUCCUCUAUUACCAAAAUGACCUGAGUGUGGUUGAUCUUUCAUAUAAUAACUUUGGAGGGAAGAUUCCUUUUUGGUUGUUAGAGAACAAUACAAGAAUGGAAGCAUUUUUAAUGAAGGGUAACUCUUUUAUGGCCCAUCUCAUCUCAGUCCAAACACGUCAGUUGUUGGUAUAUCUGACAACAAAAUACAAGGUCCAAUUCCAGCAAACAUUUGUUCAAUCUUUCCACAACUAUUUAGGUUAAACCUAUUAGGAAAUUUCCUUCAAGGUAAUAUUCCUCCUUGUUUGGGUAGUCUGAAUACUACACAUUUAUUAUUAGAUCUAUCACAUAAUCAACUAUCAGGAGGAAUACCAGAAAUGUUAGCUCAAAGUGACUCGUUGAGGUUUCUUAGGCUAUCAAAUAAUCAUCUAAGUGGGAAAAUAACCCCAACUAUCUGUCGAAACCAUUUUAAAAAAAAAAAAACAAAAAUUUGGUUGUCGACCUAAAAAUGAAAAUUGGGAGUCGCCACCGAUCUUUUAUUGAGGUGUGAUCGGUUCACCAUUAAAAAUGAUUUCGGUCUGCGAAUUUUGAGAAAACAAGUUCGGGAGUCGGUUACGCACGAGGAAGGGUUAGCACCCUCAUAACGCCCAAAAUUGGUACCAAAUUGAUUGUUUAAUGUCUUAGGGUCGAAAUUUUGAAAAGAUUUUAAAAUACGAUCCUUUGGAGUUUAAAUUUGAAUAAACCAAAUUGAAUGAUAAGACACAUUCAUUUUGAAGAAAUAAAUUGUCACACUCAGUGAGUUAAUGCAACAAUUCAAUCAUCAAAAUUAAGUAUGUCUUUUUAAUUUUCAAAAUUUGAAAUUCAUGCAUUUUGAGAAGGUUGUUCGAUCAUUUAAGUCAAACGAGAAAUCAGAAUCCAGUAAGUUAGGUUUUGAUUUCUCAAAGUUCUUAAACAUCAAACAUUGCCUUUAUUUUAAAAUUAGGAUAACAGAAUGUCACAUCCGGUAAGUUAGGAUCCGACAUUUUGAAAUCCUAAAUGCUUAGUUUUAAAACUGUAUGGUUUUAAUUAAAAAACAUAUAGCUAUCUAAAUUCAUCGAGAAAAAUUGGAACCCAAUAAGUUAGGGCACAAUUCUCUCGAGAAUUAUAAAUGCUAAAUUUUUUUUAUUGUGAAAUAGAAUGAUUGUUGUGCUUUAAUAAAAUACAAUUUUUACAAAUGAAAGAUGAUUGAAUAGCAAUACAUAAGGUGAAAGACACAAUUCGCAAUCUAAAUACGAAUUGAGGAAUAAUAAACAAAGGAUGAAUUCAAGCAAAAAUGGCUACAACAAUUUUUAUCAUAUUAGGCAAAUAUUAAUCCUAAUUGUCAAAUAUCAAAUGAAUUAAAUAUAACAACGUUUAUUAAUAACCACAUUUUUAAGCUAAAAUAUUUACACACAAACUUAAAAUGGACUUGAAACAAAAAUAAAACAACAUUGAAUAAUUGUAUUUAAAAAUGAAUUUGAAACAAGUCAUAUACCUUUAUCAAUUUAACAUAGAUAGUAUAUAUAUAUAAAAAAAAUGAGGUAGUUAUAUACAAAAGUGAAUUUUAGAAGAAGUAAAUUACAUAUAAAUAAAAUCCAUUUAAAGUACAUGUGCUAAACAUGUUAAAAACACUUGAAAUUAAUAAUAAUAUCUAAUAUCAAAACAUUAACUUAUUUUUUAAAAAAAAUUAAUAAUUUAUGGGUACAAGAAUAAUAGCCUUAUAUAUAAAAAAUAUAUUAUCACAUAAAUAUUUGAUAUAAAAAUAUUCAAAAGGUAAAUUUUAUUAAAAUAUAUAUAAAGAUUUUAUCCAAUCUUCAUAAAAUAUAUGUAUAUUAAUAAAUGAUGAAUUAAAUAAUAAUAUAUCAAAAAUUUUAAAAAGGUAUAAGGGAUAAAAGACUAAUGUAUGAUAAAUUUAAAUUACAUUAAUAACAAUUUAAAUAAUAAUAUAUUGUAUUUUAAAAAUUGUAUUAAUAAUAAGUUUAAAAAAUGUCAAACUUAAAGAUUAAAAUAAUGUUGGAAAUAACUAUAUCAAAAUAAUAAUGAAAUAUAUUUAACCAUAAAUAAAUAAAGAUUAAAUUAGAACUAGAAUUAAAAACGAACUAAAUUAUUAAUCUAGUUAAAUCUAAGGGACCAAAACGGAAAUUAAACGCAAAAGUCCGGGCAUUCAAGUCCAAACAAUGGAAACGACGUCGCUUAACAGAGGGCUUAAAUGCAAUCGAAGUUAAAUGCACAGUAUAAAUUUAAAAAAAAAGAAGAAAACUGAAUCGAAACGACACCGAAUACAGAGGGGCCUAUUGCGCAAAUAGACCGUUGAACAAAAACGCGCGGAUCCUUCCCUCAGGUCGGGUCGCAAGCCUCUAAACGGCACCGUUUUAAGCAAUAUAAAUCUAAAAAUAAACCCUAAACAAGGUUCAUUCAGGCGUAAAUAAAAAAGAAAGAAAAUAAACCCUAAACGGCGACCCUCUCUUCUCCGCCGCCUUGAAAGCCAGAACUCUCCUCUCUCUCGUUCCGAUUUGGACAGAGUAGAGGAUGGCUCCAAUGGCGCGCCAAGGUAAGUUUCUUCUUCGCUUUCCUCUUUUUUUUCAGUUUGGUGCCAAAGAAUCAAAGAAAAGAAAAAAGAAAGAAAAAACAGAGAAGAUCACCUUUUCGAAGAAAAACUUUCUGCUUUGAUUUUUUUUGUUUUUAUUCAAUAUCUCUCUCCGGGGUUUUUUUUUCUUCGAGUACAUCUUUGGGUUUUUAUAACCCGAAAAUAAAAAGAAAAAAUAAUACAAAAUUUUUCUUUUUUGUUCUCCUUUUCGCUAUUUUUGCUUUUUUUUCUCUCUCUUGUGGCUUGUUUGUCGUAUUUAUUGCAGGUACUAUAGUCGUACAGAGGCGCGGGCGCGCAUGUACAGAGGCUCGCGUGAGUGCAGAGGCUGGCGUGGAACGGCUACACGCGCGCAGGCGCAACACGUGCGAGGAGAAGGCCUGGUGGUUGCGGCGCUGGUUGGGGCUGAUGCUAGGGUUUCCCCUUAUGUUGUAAUCGGGUUUGGGCUUAGAAAAUUGGGUUUAGGGUCUGUUUAGGUUUAGCUGAUUCGGGUUUGGGUAGAGAUUCGGGCCAUUGGGCUGGUAUUGGAUCAUUGUAAUAUGGACAUUUUGGACAUUUAAUAUGUUUACUUUUGUUUUUAUUAUCGAUAUUGGGCCAUUACACUAUCUUUUGCUCAUCUUUAUUAGAAUUUUUAUAUUUAGAUGGCAAUAACUUUGAUGGAAAUAUACCUAGCAUUGAUAUCUUAACUAUCCCUUUGUACUCUCUUAAAUAUGUGGAUUUAAGUAACAACAAUUUGUCUGGAGAACUCCCAAGAUGGAUAUGGAAUGUGUCAAAUUUAAAUGCAUUGGCAGUAUCCAACAAUCAGCUCAAGGGUCUCAUUACGAUGGAAUUGUGCUAUUUGGAUUCUCUUAAUAUUUUGGACCUUUCAAAAAACAAUUUUUCUGGCCCAAUACCAUCUUGCUUCGAUGCACAAUCCAUUUGAGCAAAAAUAGAUUAAAUGGAACCUUAACAAAUGCAUUCUUUAAUAGCUCUUCCUUGGUGGCUUUAGAUCUUAGUGAAAACUAGUUGACUGGGGAAAUUCCAUACAGGAUUGGAACUCUUUCGGCUUUAAGUGUCUUCCUUCUAAAAGCCAAUUAUUUUAUCAAAAAAAUUCUCAUUGAGAUAUGUAAAUUGUAUUCGUUAAGCAUCAUUGAUCUUUCUCAAAACAAGCUUUCUGGUUCAAUACCUUCUUGUUGGAGUCAUUUAACUCUUAAGCCAAAUUAUGAAAAAUCUUCAACAAAGACCUAUAAGGUAUUUGAAGGAAUCACUAUGGAAUGACUGAAUUUGAGUGGUCCACUUUAAGAGGAGCUGAGUCAUUCUAUGUAUAUCUCUUUAUUGAGAAUCAAAUGGAAGAAAAGGUGGACUAUACAACAAAGAGAGCAUCUUACACAUACAAGGGAAACAUUCUUGAGUACAAGUCUGGAAUUGAUUUAUCAUGUAAUAGAUUAACAGGUGAAAUCCCCACAAAGAUUGGAAAUUUGAGUGAAAUUCGAUCACUAAACGUGUCACACAAUAAUUUGGCUGGACAAAUACCGUCAAUGUUCUCAAAGCUUAAGCAAAUUGAGAGUCUGGAAGAAUCCCUACUCAAUUGACAGAGUGGUACACCUACAACUUGUCAGGGAGUAUUUCGUCUCCGAAAGCUCAAUUUGGAACCUUCGAUGAAAGCAGUUAUGUGGAGAAUCCUUUUCUCUGCGGGCCACCCCUGCAUAAAAAUUGCAGCGACCUUGAUUCACCCCCGACAGCAGCACCAAAUACCUCAAACAACGAAGAAAAAAGUGGUUUGAUGGAGAAGUAUGUUUUUUGGGUGACCUUUUUUGUUUCUUAUGUAAUUGUAUUACUGGUUAUUGUUCUCAUCCUGUAUAUAAAUAUCCUUAUUGGCGACAAGCAUGGUUUUUUUUUUUUUUGUUGUUGAACACUGCAUCAAGACCUACCAUCUUCAAAAGAAGCGGGUAGCCUUGUGCUUUCGUGGUUUACAUUUGUAUGUAAUUGCUUUCAAAAGUUUGUUUGGGUUAUUUGCUUUAAAGUUUUUAAAGGUAGAAUGUAAUAUCUUUGUUAUGUAAUAAUUGAUAGUGUAUUAUGAGAAAACUAUAUAAAAUGUUAUGCAUUACCGAUUAAAACAUUUAAUAAUGCUUUACAAUUUUCAGCAUUCUGAUAAACAUUUUGUAGCAUAUAUAUAUAUAUAUAUAUAUAUAUAUAUAAUUUAUAUCUAUCUAUAUUUUUGUAGUCAAACAAGCUAUUGAUGUUGUGGUAAAAAUUUCAUAUUGUUUCAAACCUUAGUGUAAGGAAAGAGAGAAAAGAUUAUAUGAAACUGUGAUUUCACAUCUCUAUCCCUUUCAAAUAGGAGAAUAAUAAAUUAAAUUUUUCCUCCUGAUUUUUAGCACUUUAGUUGGAUUUGAAUUUUUCAAAAGAAAAAAAUUAGAAAUCAGGAGGAAAAAUCUGAUUUAUCUCGUGUUGAAAAGGGAUAAAGAUGACGUGAAAUCACAAUUUCAUACAAUUCCUUGUCAAAGAAAAAUCUUCUGCCACUAAAGCUCAAACUUCAUAUUAACUACUAAAUAUGAAUGACAAAAAUAGUCUUUAAAUUUUUAAAUGAUAUAAAUAUUUUUUAAAUUAAUAAAGUUAUCAUAAAUAAAUAUGUAGUUUCAUUGUUUUAUUUAAACUCAAAUUAAUAAAUAUUUAAAAAUUUAGUUCACACGAUAUUUAUCUAAUUUGAAAUUAAUAAAUUUGAGUAACAAUAAAAUUGAAAGCCUCCAAUCUCCCCAUAGUAUGUGUUGAUAUGUUUUAGAAGAGCUUAAUUUGGAUUCCAACUCCUUCACAAAAACUUAUUGGCACAGCUUAGUGGGUUUUCCAAUCUAAAGUCAUUGAGAAUAAGGAAUAACCAAUUUAAAAGAUCAAUAAAUAUUAAAGGUGAGAUUACUUAAUAUAUUUAAUCUUCCUUUAAACGAAACAAAUUAAUUGUUGAGUUAUUGCAUUUAUUCGGUGUGAUUUAAUUUUAAAUUUUAUUUGUCGAUCUUCACAGAAUUAUUAAAUACUUUGAGCAACUUAGAGGAGCUAAACAUGAGCCGGAAUGAGGUGAAGGAAUUUGUGCCAAUAAAGAAUAAAGGUAUAUGUAUCAACUAGGAAAGCCUUACUAAUUGUUUGCCAUUAGAUAUCUAGUGAAUGAUGCCAACCACUAAUUUGACUCUCAAAAAAUGGAAGUUUGGGAAAGCUAAAGGUUGCUAUGUUAGACUAUGUGUUCACCGGUGGAACUACUUCUCUAAUACAGCUUCUGUAGACAUUCUUAUCUGUUAAGACCUUAUAUUUGAGAGGCAAUUACUUCAACAACACAUUUUCUACUCAAGGUUUAAGAUGUAUGUGUGUGAAUAUAUAGUUUUACAACUUGGUUCCAUUUAAAAAUAUUAUUGUAACACCCCAAAAUUUGGGGUUAAAUUAGGAGAUUAUUAUUAUUAUAAUUAGUCUCAAAUGGUGUAGAAAAAUAGAAAGCUCAAGCCAAGUCCGGCGAAGUUCAAGACAAUACAUGAGAUAGAAGCUUGAAGAGGUUUUAUUUGACUUAGAAAUAAUAUCUAGAAAUUUUGUUAAAAUGCUUUGGUAUGAAUGAAAAAUCAAAACCUGUUAGUACUUUCUUUGCUUUUCAUUUCAAAUUUAAUGUUACCAUGUUGCCAAAAAAUAAUGUAGAACGAGAAUACAUAUUAAAGAUAUCAUAUGCAAAUGUUGUUGCUAACAUAAUGUAUGCUAUGGUACGUACAAGAUUUAACAUUUCACAAACAAUUAGAGUUGUGAGCAGAUAAAUGCAUGAUUCAGUAAAGGAUCAUCGGCAAGCUAUGAAAUGGAUUUUGCGAUAUAUCUUUAAUACAAUGGAUAUUUGAUUGAUUUUUUAGUAGGACGAUAAUCAGGGUAAAUGGAUAUUUGAUUGAUUUUUUAGUAGGACGAUAAUCAGGGUGAAUGGAUAUUGUGAUUCAAGCUAUGCUAGCGAUCUAGACAAACAAUGACCGACUACUGGUUAUGUGUUUACUCUUGCAAAGGAGCCAGUUAGUUGGAAGUCUACUUUACAGUCAACAGUUGUCUUAUCUACUACAGAAGCGGAGUAUAUGGCAAUCACAUAGGCUGUAAAAGAGACAAUUUGGUUUCAAGGGUUGCUUGGUUAAUUGGAAAUUAAGCAAAAGUACGUCAAAGUACAUUGUGAUAGUCAGAGUGCUAUUCAGUUAGCAAAGAAUCAAGUUUAUCAUGCAAGAACAAAGCAUAUUGACAUCUGAUAUCAUUUUGUACGAGAGAUUUUAGAAAAAGUAGAAUAAAGACCCAAAAAAUUUCUACCACUAAGAAUCCUAUUGAUAUGAUGACUAAGAUUGUGAUUGUGGUUAAGUUCCAACUAUGUUUAGACCUAAUCAUUGUUAAAACUUGAAGGUUGAAAUUUGAAGAUACUAUCAAAUAUUGUUUGACAAUGUGAAGAUUUAUAGAAGCAGUACAAUCCCACAUUUCAAAAAUACAAGGUUAUGGAGAGUUUAUAUUACUAUAAAUAGGGGUUGUUUUCCACCGUUUUUAUCAUUUUCUAACAAUUAAAUUUUCUGGUACAAAAAUUUACUUUCUUACUCUAUUCACACAUCACCUUCAUAAAAUUUUACCUUUUCAUAUGAAAAGUGACUACAAACAUUUACUAUCUAUAAGGAUGAUUUUUAAAGUUGAAUUUACAUGAGGGUUAAAUUAGGAGAUUAUUAUAACUGAAAUUAGUCUCAAAUGGUGUUGAAAAAUGGAAAGCUCAAGUUCAUUAUGCUAAAAGUAGAACAUUAAUAAGAGAAAUAAAAUAAAAUUAUUGUUAAAAACCGUCAAUUAAUUCUUACUCACUACCAUGCAUACUUUGGGUAUUAAAUACCCUUUUACCUCUCUAUUAAUUGUUUAAAACAUAUAUUAAAAAAGAAAUAUCAAAAUUAUAUACGAAAAUGAUUUGCAACAAAUAAUUUAUUUCUAUGAGGAAAAAAAAUGGCUAUUUAUAUUUAUUUUUUGUAAAAAAAAAAAGGAACUUGUGGAAGUGUUUAACCUAAGUAUCUUUACAAGAGUAUAAACCUUAUCUUUGCUUUAUAUAUACACUGCUUUGAAUCUGAUCCAGACUCAGCUUCUUGCCUCCUGCUUUUAAUUGGUUUAUGAGCGUUUAUUAGACAGAUUCAAGAUUAUGGGCUAGUAUACCAAAAUUUACUGUAAAUACACUAGGCCUUAGCUCUCUCUAUGGGGGGACAAAACUUUCAUACCGAGCUUGCGACCGCUGGAUCGACUAGUCGGAUUUAUUGGUUCGAUUAUCGGAUUAGCAAUUCUGAAGUUGGUUGUUUUCUAUUGUGCUCGGCCAACUACAACCGACAGACCAUCCCAGAACGCCCAGGAUUAGAUCGAGCCUUGAACACGCAUUAACCUGAAACAAAACCGAGCCAUUCCUUGUGUCAGUAUGUAGUUCAUUUCAUGUCAUCUAAAGCAUUAUUGGAUUAGCAAAGUGGGUCUGAACACAGUACCAAAAUUUCAAGGUUGGCUUCGACAUGAAAUAACAUGACUGCCAUUCCCCUUCCUCUAUCAAUCUCAGCCUGAAACGGAAGAAAGUAAAGAUGUUACAGAACUAUCAAACUAUUAACAUAAUCGGCGUUGAAUUUAAACCAACUCACCACACAGGCGCAUAUUGUGAUGCCUACAGCUGCCAAUGCUGUUGUGACCUCAGCCAUCAUUCCUAAAAUCAUAUGUGCAAUUAGCAAAAAUAAAAUGACUAAGAAAGUCUGAUGCAACCUAUAAUGGCUGAAAAAUGAAAGCAUAUUGACCUUAAAUGCCUGGUUGGAUCUCGAUAAACAAGGUUCCAAGACUAUAUGUUAUUCGAAUUCAAGUGUGAGACUGUGAGUGCAGGUAUGUUCAAGUCUUUGUAAAUUUUCAAUGUAUGUGGAGCAUCCUUGGAGGAUCAUAUCCCCAUAUACCCAUAUCCAAAUAUGUGCUUGACAUGAGUAUAGGAAAAUGAAGAGUCGGAGCAGUAUGGACUAAGACAAAUGUCUAUGGGAACAGCUUGGUAGGAUGAUCCACGUUUCCUUUGAAGUCCAAAGAAAAAGGAAACAAGUUAACUAAAGGGCUGUAAGUCAACAGUCUCAUUGGAUCCGUAGCUAUUUCAUAGCAAAAUGUGUCUACUUUAGUCAUUCAAAUUUCUAAGUCACUAGCAUCAAUAUGCCACCAAAUAAGUGUAAAAUAACCUGAACACGAUCGCCAAAAGAUUUACCUCGUCGAUCUAUACAAACGACAGAAAACCACUGGAUAGAAUGUCCUUCAAGAUUGUGCCACGAGGCGAUUUUACUGGCUUGCCAACUUUCCAAACCAGGCAAGACCUCCUUGUGAGGUGGAUUGUUUGCAGGUAUCAUUUUUGCAGCACCGUUGCCCAGUGAAAACAAGUAGCCAUUGGC